rnacentral:rRNA from 1 species
GACAGAGGGGGCAAGCGUUGCUCGGAAUUACUGGGCGUAAAGGGCGCGUAGGCGGGAUGGCAAGUCGGUCGUGAAAUCCCUCGGCUCAACCGAGGAACGUCGAUCGAUACUGCUGUUCUUGAGGAUUGCAGAGGAGACUGGAAUUCCCGGUGUAGCGGUGAAAUGCGUAGAGAUCGGGAAGAACAUCAGUGGCGAAGGCGGCCUGCUGGGCUGUUGCUGACGCUGAGGCGCGACAGCGUGGGGAGCAAACAGG